rfam:Schistosoma mattheei strain Denwood, Zambia genome assembly, scaffold: SMTD_scaffold0002273
AUUCAUUUGACGAGUCUCAAAUCAGGCAAAACGCGCGUCCUGGAU